CCAAUAGCGUAUAUUAAAGUUGUUGCAGUUAAAAAGCUCGUAGUUGAAUUUCGAAAUUUUUUUAUCGGUUGAAUCCACAGGUUCGUACUGAUUUUAAAAAUUUCUACCUUCUGGAGAACCUUAAUGUCAUUUAUUUGAUGUUUUGGGAAACCAGGACUGUUACCUUGAAAAAAUUAGAGUGUUUAAAGCAGGCUUAUGUCUGAAUAUAUUAGCAUGGAAUAAUGAAAUAGGACGGCAUGGUUCUAUUUUGUUGGUUUCUAGGAUCACCGUAAUGAUUAAUAGGGAUAGUUGGGGGCAUUAGUAUUCAAUUGUCAGAGGUGAAAUUCUUGGAUUUAUUGAAGACUAACUUCUGCGAAAGCAUUUGCCAAGGAUGUUUUCAUUAAUCAAGAACGAAAGUUAGGGGAUCGAAGACGAUCAGAUACCGUCGUAGUCUUAACCAUAAACUAUGCCGACUAGGAAUCGGACGAAGUUAAUUUUUUAAUGACUCGUUCGGCGCCUUACG
rnacentral:rRNA from 1 species